rnacentral:rRNA from 1 species
GUGCAGCAGUCGAGAAUCUUCGGCAAUGGGCGAAAGCCUGACCGAGCGACGCCGCGUGCGGGAUGAAGGCCCUCGGGUUGUAAACCGCUGUCGUUGGGGAGGAAAUGCAAAAGGGCUAUCCCUUUUGUUUGACCGAUCCAAGGAGGAAGUACGGGCUAAGUUCGUGCCAGCAGCCGCGGUAAGACGAACCGUACGAACGUUAUUCGGAAUUACUAGGCUUAGAGGGUGCGUAGGCUGCACGGAAAGUUGGGUGUGAAAGCCCUCAGCUCAACUGAGGAAUUGCAUCCAAAACUGCCGUGCUUGAGGGAGACAGAGGUGAGCGGAACUCAAGGUGGAGCGGUGAAAUGCGUUGAUAUCUUGAGGAACACCGGUGGCGAAGGCGGCUCACUGGGUCUCUUCUGACGCUGAGGCACGAAAGCUAAGGUAGCAAACGGGAUUAGAUACCCCCGUAGUCC